CUUUCAUGCAGUGAGGCCUCUGCAAUAAAACUUUUCCAGCAGCCUCUUCUCUUUCCUCAGAGGCACUGAAAGUGCACCAUGGACCCACCAUGAAGUUUCCUCAACUACAAAGUCUGUGAGAUCACUGUGUGCUUGAGUCUCAUCAUCUGCAUCACUGCACAGAUUUUUGUGUCUGCCAUACUUG
rnacentral:lncRNA from 1 species